rnacentral:rRNA from 1 species
CGGGGACAACAUUCCGAAAGGGAUGCUAAUACCGGAUGUGACGCUCCUAUCGCAUGACGGGAGCGUGAAAGAUGGCCUCUACAUGUAAGCUAUCGCUAAAGGAUGGGCCUGCGUCUGAUUAGCUAGUUGGUAGCGUAACGGACAACCAAGGCGAUGAUCAGUAGCCGGUCUGAGAGGAUGAACGGCCACAUUGGGACUGAGACACGGCCCAG